UCCUACUAAUCCUUCAACAUCACCAACACAAAAAGAAAAGAAACCAUGAACACAUAAAAAAAAGAUUUCCAUUUCCACCUUAUUUUCCAUUUUGGACUUGAAUGGCCACUCCUUCCACAGGUUGAUUUGCCACUGGUGGUUGUGCCACUGGUUGUUCCACAAUGUCCUCAAAAAAGUUCCCUUCAAAUUGUUGUUGUCCAAAGUCCUUGAAAAUUUCAUUGUUCUCCAAAUUAACAUUGUUGUGAAAUUCUAGUAAGAAAUUUGCAUACCACUGAUUUGGUAGAGGAGGAUCCGCCCAAUGGAAGAAUUUGUAGUAUUUGAGUUCAUCCUAGUAAUUCGGGCAACCUAUAAACCUUCUUCUUGGGUUAAACCGAGUCCACGGAGUCCAUUUUCCAUCAGGAUCACCACAAUAGCACUUGCUUCUCAGUCGAUUCAUCACUUUUUGAUUUGAACCUCUUCUUCCUACAGAAGAUGAAGACGACAUUUAUGGCUCCUCCUCCUACUUUGAUUUUUGCCUGGUCCGAUUUUAGGGCACGAACGAAUGAAUAUGUAUAUAUUUAAGUUUCAUUAAGUGACUCACCAUCCACCUAAGCAUGCCCAGUCCCCGUAGACUUUUGUAACCAGAUACAUGAGGGUCACCGAAUAAUAAGGGAUAAAUUGUCCAGUUUAUCCGGUUUGUUGGGCUUUUUCAUUAAAAAAAAAUUAGGACUUUUUUGAAACGUUUUCUAAAAUAUAGGGAAUUUAUUAUACAUAUCCCUAAAGGAAAAUAUAAACCACCAACUAUAAACCAUCAGUCUACCUUGGCACUCCACUCCCUCCGCCCCUACACUUUCAUUUGUUGAUCCUCUAAGGCAUAUUUUUGGGUGGGCAUCAAUAGGAAGCUUAGAACAAAAAACAACCACUUAUUGAUAGGAACUAAUUGAUACGACCGAACCUAAGAAAUUAAAUAUCUUNUAGACGGCUAGUGUGUGUGUAUAUAUAUAUAUAUAUAUAUAUAUAUAUAUAUAUAUAUAUAUAAUAAUAAAAAUAAUAAUAAUAAUAAUAAUAAUAAUAAUAAUAAUAAUAAUAAUAAUAAAAAGAUUAAGCCUUAUAAAGUUGUCCAUUUUGCCCCCCUUAACGCCCCCAAUGCUCAUUGAAUAUGAUAUAUACAUAAUCAGCAAUGCAAAAUAGACAGCAAAACAUUGAUGUAAAUUAACAAAAUCAAUACUAGAUGCAUGAUAAAAUACAAACACUAAUUUAUCUUUGUGGCUCAUGUUUCACAAAAUUAUGGGCCAAAUCAAACCUAAAAUUGGAUAUGAUAUCCACAUCAUCUUCAUCUUUGUUCCAAGCUAAUUAAAUCCCAAAACACAAAAUCAAAUAUCAGAUGAGACUAAACCCACAAACAUGAAAGAGAAAAUAAGUUUAAGAACCAAAAAACAAGGGAAGUUUUAAGGUGGUGCCCGGUGUGGAACUAGCGACACCUACCUUUCGCGUACGUAGUGGAAAAAAUUUCGAGUUUAUUAAAUUUGUACCUGUUGUGCCACUACAUAAAAAACGUGCAACUACGUAUAAAAAUUUGUGCACCUACGUAAAAAAAUGUGUCACUCUAUCGGGACUUACGAAGCCCAAAAAUAUAAUUAGAAGUUUACAACUUAUAAUUAGCUACAUAUGAGCUCAAUGUUUUAGUCCACUAAUUUCUAUUAAUUGUAUUGGUAGCCCAAUGUCCCAAAUAAAAAAUGAAUUAGACAAAAUAACUCAAUCCUAAAUGCUUGAAAGUGUUUGUCAAUUACAAGAAAGAAAAAAAAAAUUGUAGCCUCUUGCUUCUUUUUCUUCCCUUUUGUCUAUUGUUGUUGCUUCGUGUUUCUUCCGCUACAUCAACGAUUGACAAAGCUAAAGUGCAAGGUGUUGUUACUUGAUUACAAUAAUCCACCUCAUUACAGAAAUCGACCGCGUCGUUUUUCCAAGCCCUAGAAGGCUAGAAUGAAGCAAGUAAGUAUUAUUGACAUUUUGAAAUUUUACCAAUUCUUUUAGGUAUUCGAAAUUAGUAUUAUUUUUUUUUUUGAAUUUUUUGCCUGACUUGGCCACUUGGGUGAAAUUGAUAUGUUUUUAUUGAAUAUGUUGUUUGCUUUGGUGAAAUUUCUAUGUUUUAUUGUAGUUAUUGUUUUAUUAGGUUAAAUUGCUAUGUUUUUAUUGAAUUUAUUGUUUGAUUAGACGAGAAGGUGAAAUUUUUAUGUUUUUAUUGAAGUUAUUGUUUGAUUAUGUGAAGUUGCUAUGUUUCUAUAGGUUAAACUAAGUGGUUUUCUUACCAAAAGACCAAGACAUAAUCCUAAUGAAAGUGGUGAAGGAUGUUCCCAAACAACAAUCACCAAUCACUCAAUCCCUUCGGUUUCUAAUUCUAAUGCAACUCCACAAACACCGAUCACUAAGCAAUAAAUCCAUUCAGGUUCGAAUGCAACUCCACAAACACCAUGCUCUAAUGAACUUAAUGAUAAUGUUGAUUUGAAAGAUCUUCCAAAGGACCUGAAAGAUAGGCCAAAUAUUACAAGUUACAAAUCCAGAGGGAAUCACUGAAGAGGAUAUGGGUAUAGAGGGCAUAGGUGGAGAGUGCAUGGAAUAAGAAGGUGUGGAUCAAGAGGGCAUAAAUCAGGAUGGAAUGGGUAUAAAAUGGAUGGAUCGGGAGGGAAUCAAUGACAAUGGCAAGGGUGUACAAGAGAUAGAGAAUGAGGUCCUGGUUUUGGAGGACAUGGGCAGGAGGCCAAAACUAGGAAAGAGGAAGCCUUCAUAGAUGGUAACAAAAAUAUAAUUAAAGAAAGUAGUGGUUGUCAAAAAUGGGAAGGGGAUGAGUUCAUCCAAGCCACUUAGUCUAGAUUAGGGUGUUUCUAAUCCAUGCUUUUGUGUAGAACAUGUGCAAACUUUUAGCUUUGGCCAACUGUUGAUAGCCCCUUUUGUUGAUAGCCAUAUAAAGUAUAGGCUUUGGGCCCCUUAAUUAUGUAUUGGGCAUUUACACAACUAGCCAUUCAAACUUUUGGCUUUGGUUAAUAUUACAUGUUCUAUGAUAAACAUGGUUAAUUUAUCUUUAAGUUGAUUAAAUUUUGUAUGUUUGUGAUGUGAUUGAUUAUAUUGUGUAUGGUAAUGUUGUGUUUGAUUUGAUUCUAUUGUGUAUGUUAAUGUUGUGAUUGAUUACAUUAUUAAGUUAACUGGAAUUCCAACCAUGUUUGAUUCCAUCCAUACUUGAUUCCGGUCAUGCAUGAUUCCAACCAUAAUUGAUUCCGGUCAUGCAUGAUUCCAGUCACAAAUGAUUCCAAUCAUUAUUGAUUCCAUUGUUUAUUAAACAUGUUUGAUUAUAUUCUAUAUUCAUGGCAUUGUUUAUUAAUUCAAUUCAUUAAUGAUUCCAUUCAUUGUUUAUCCAUUCUAUUCACUCAUGAUUACAUUGGAAGCACUUAUGACUCAUACACAAACAGAAACUUGUUAAUUCAUUUCACUUGAAAAAAGGAGACAACAUAAUACAUAGUAUACACACCAAUUAAGACAUUGAUAGUACCCUAACAUACACAACCAAAACACAUCAAACACACCAAAACACUACUUUCCAUACAUCUUCUGUCUAUCCUACUAAUCCUUCAACAUCACCAACACAAAAAGAAAAGAAACCAUGAACACAUAAAAAAAAGAUUUCCAUUUCCACCUUAUUUUCCAUUUUGGACUUGAAUGGCCACUCCUUCCACAGGUUGAUUUGCCACUGGUGGUUGUGCCACUGGUUGUUCCACAAUGUCCUCAAAAAAGUUCCCUUCAAAUUGUUGUUGUCCAAAGUCCUUGAAAAUUUCAUUGUUCUCCAAAUUAACAUUGUUGUGAAAUUCUAGUAAGAAAUUUGCAUACCACUGAUUUGGUAGAGGAGGAUCCGCCCAAUGGAAGAAUUUGUAGUAUUUGAGUUCAUCCUAGUAAUUCGGGCAACCUAUAAACCUUCUUCUUGGGUUAAACCGAGUCCACGGAGUCCAUUUUCCAUCAGGAUCACCACAAUAGCACUUGCUUCUCAGUCGAUUCAUCACUUUUUGAUUUGAACCUCUUCUUCCUACAGAAGAUGAAGACGACAUUUAUGGCUCCUCCUCCUACUUUGAUUUUUGCCUGGUCCGAUUUUAGGGCACGAACGAAUGAAUAUGUAUAUAUUUAAGUUUCAUUAAGUGACUCACCAUCCACCUAAGCAUGCCCAGUCCCCGUAGACUUUUGUAACCGGAUACAUGAGGGUCACCGAAUAAUAAGGGAUAAAUUGUCCAGUUUAUCCGGUUUGUUGGGCUUUUU
rnacentral:lncRNA from 1 species